AGUCCAAUGGUGUAAUGGUAGCACAACAGAUUUUGGUUCUGUUUGUCUAGGUUCGAAUCCUGGUUGGACUA
rnacentral:tRNA from 1 species